ACGAACGCUGGCGGCAGGCCUAACACAUGCAAGUCAAACGGGUGUAGCAAUACAUCAGUGGCGCACGGGUGCAUAACGCGUGGGAAUAUCUCCUUGACUACGGAAUAACGUCGGGAAACUGACGCUAAUACCGUAUAACGACUCCGGUCCAAAGAUUUAUCGGUUAAGGAUUAGCCCGCGUCUGAUUAGCUAGUUGGUGAGGUAACGGCUCACCAAGGCGACGAUCAGUAGCUGGUCUGAGAGGAUGAUCAGCCACACUGGAACUGAGACACGGUCCAGACUCCUACGGGAGGCAGCAGUGAGGAAUAUUGGACAAUGGGCGCAAGCCUGAUCCAGCCAUGCCGCGUGAGUGACGAAGGCCUUC
rnacentral:rRNA from 1 species